UGCAGUCGUACGCUUCUUUUUCCACCGGAGCUUGCUCCACCGGAAAAAGAGGAGUGGCGAACGGGUGAGUAACACGUGGGUAACCUGCCCAUCAGAAGGGGAUAACACUUGGAAACAGGUGCUAAUACCGUAUAACAAUCGAAACCGCAUGGUUUUGAUUUGAAAGGCGCUUUCGGGUGUCGCUGAUGGAUGGACCCGCGGUGCAUUAGCUAGUUGGUGAGGUAACGGCUCACCAAGGCCACGAUGCAUAGCCGACCUGAGAGGGUGAUCGGCCACAUUGGGACUGAGACACGGCCCAAACUCCUACGGGAGGCAGCAGUAGGGAAUCUUCGGCAAUGGACGAAAGUCUGACCGAGCAACGCCGCGUGAGUGAAGAAGGUUUUCGGAUCGUAAAACUCUGUUGUUAGAGAAGAACAAGGAUGAGAGUAACUGUUCAUCCCUUGACGGUAUCUAACCAGAAAGCCACGGCUAACUACGUGCCA
rnacentral:rRNA from 1 species